CUGAGCCCCCUGGGACCCCCAAACAGCCCCUGAGACCACCCGAAAAUACUGCCAGGAACGGCUCCUGCCACGAGUGCUGCGGGCAAACAGGGAUGAGGUGUUUGACCGGGAGAUCGUCAAUGAACUGGGGGCUCUGGGGGUCCUGGGCCCCACCAUCCAAGGGUACGGCUGUGCUGGCACCACGUCUGUG